GUGUACCAUACAGUGUGGCUGAAUUGUAAAGCUGCAUAUGGAUAUGAAUACCUCUUCACUAACCUGGGGGACGAGUUUCACACACAGAUUCAUGUGAAAAGCCUGGACAUGUUUAAGAAGAUGCCAGAGAUUCUGAGUCAUGUGACCACGGAUCGAGCCACUCAGAUCCAUGCCUGCCGUCACCCCAAGGAGGAGGAGUUUGUUCC